GCCCUUGUGGUGCAACGGAUAGCACGACUGUCUUCGGAACAGUUGAUCUGGGUUCGAUUCCUGGCGGGGGCA
rnacentral:tRNA from 1 species